rnacentral:tRNA from 1 species
GCCCCGGUAGUGUAGUCCGGCCCAGCAUCUGAGGUUUUCGACCUCAUGACCCGGGUUCGAAUGAGAGGUGCUUUGGCAACUCUCCGAAAUUCCCGGCCGGGGCA